UUUUUAUUUUACUCUAUUAUAGCCUCAAAACUGGCAUGGUUUUUGUUAGACCACGAGCUCCAAAAAGAUUUCUUUCUUAAACUCCGUGUCAAGUCAAGCACCGCCAAAAUAGCUGGGACACAUAGUAUAAAAGAUGAUGCCUUUAUAAUUUUUCCAAGUAGCUAGUGAAAGUAUCCUUAUAUAAGUCCUGUUAACUUUAUUGCUUUAUUCUAAUUUACAUUGUGAAUUACUUGAAUCUUUAUUUUCAUGGGUUGUGGAUUAUUAUUUUUCUAGAGAGUAGCUAUAUAUUGGUGAUGUGCUUGAAUGAUAUGUGCGGGGGUGAGAGGUUGACUGGGGAUAGUUUCAGGAGAGGUAGAGGUAGGCUGAAGAAGUAUUAGCGGAGGUGAUUAGAGAAGAUAUGACACAGUUAAAGCUUACCGAGGAUCCGACCUUAGGUAGGAGGUUGUGGAGGAACACAACUUAGGGUAGAAGGCUAGAUAGAAGUAGAGCAUUGUCUCGCUUGUCCUCACAUAUGGUAGUCGUCGUAUUUCUCCGGUAGUUUCUUGUCCUUCAAUUUCUGUUACCAGCUACUGUCUCUUGUACUAUAAUUACCACAGUAUUUUAUUGUAGUAGCUAUUCCUUUUUCAAAAUGCUUUGCCAUGAUUUCUUCACUUUUCAUUAAUUUUUUCGAUUUGCUUUCAUAUGCUUUUUCUUGAGCCGAGGGUCUAUUGGAAACUCUCUACCUCCCAAAGUAGGGGUAAGGUCUGCAUGCACUCUAUCUUCCCUAGACCCCACUUGUGGGAUUACACUGGUUAUAUUGUUGUUUUGUUCUUGUGCUUGAAUGACACAUAAAUUCAUUUUCAUAUAGCCAGAUUGCAAGGAAAAUUGGGGAUCCAAAUAUCCCUCGUCCAUGGAGCAGGCACACUUUGAAGAAACAAGAGAAAUUGACAAAUGAGGAUGAGAAUGCAAAAGUAAACAAAAGUUCCAAGUCUGCAGGUUUAAAAGGGGACAAAAAGAAUAGUAAACAGGAGAGUAAGGAUGAGGAUCCUCAGCUUCAAGAGUUCCUUGAAGUUAUGCAGCCUCGGAGUAAGUCAAAGUUGUGGGCAAAUGAUACACUAGCAGCUCCAUCUCUUGCUCAAAGUAAAAAGGAUGGCCAUAAGCAAUCCCAGGCAAAAGAGACUAACCGGGAAAAAUUGGCUACUGAUAACUCUGAGUUAGAUGAGGUUAUUAAAAAAGAGGAAUCUCUGUCAGUUAAUGAAAAUUCUGAGAAACCUGACAGCUUCCAUAAUGAUGAAGUUAUGACCGAUACAGAUUAUUUCAAAAGUAGAGUGAGGAAAGAUUGGUCAGACUCAAAAAGUAGUGAAGACGAUGGUAGUGAUAAUGAAAGUGACACUGAAAGUGGCAAGAGCAAUGAAGAUGCAAAUACUGGUAAUAUCCUCAAACCUGAUGAUACAGAGGAAGUUUUGACUGAUGGGUUCACCAGAUCUAACAAUAAAUCGCUUGAGCCUGCUGACCCUUCAUCAAGUGUUAUGGAUGAAAAAGAAGAAGAUCUGGAGAGUGGACGAUUAUUUGUUCGUAAUCUUCCUUACACCACGACGUAAUACAUCUUUGUUCUUCUUUUUUCCUUUAUCCUUUUUUUUUCUGGGUGAUUUAGUUAACUCGAUAUGUUGACUUCAACAAACCUAAUGUAUGUUCUUGCCAAACAAAUGGUUUUAUGACUCAGGGAAGAGGAGCUGGAAGAACAUUUUAGAGCAUUUGGCAAUGUCUCACAGGUUCAUAUUGUUGUUGACAAAGAUACAAAGCGGUCCAAAGGAUUUGCAUAUGUUCUCUAUGCAUUACCAGAAUCUGCUGCUAGGUACCUGUCAAUCAGCAUCCAAAUUCUAAGCUACUGCACUUUUUACCUGCAAGAAGCACACUGAUAUCCGUGUUAUAAAUUCUGAGUCCCUUGUAUACGUAUGUAUGUGUCUAUUUUUCAUGUUCCAGUGCUUCCUUGCAUUGCUUUUUGAUUGUUUCUUCCAGGGCAUUAGCGGAGCUGGACAGUUCAAUUUUUCAAGGACGAUUACUUCAUGUCAUGCCAGCUAAGCAGAAAAUUUCUCCAGAGAAGAUAGAGUAAGUGUUGUUUUACCACGCUUUUCAAUGUUCAUAUCCAUUAGAUUGUUUGCUUAUGCAUAUAUGUCGAGAGAAGCUCUCCUUUUUCUUUUUAAUAAUGUGGGAUCUACCUUGCUAUUAUAAGAUUGGUUCAUUUAUUACUCUGUAGGACAGUUGAUAAUACCAAGCAAUUUUCAAAAACAUUUAAGCAGCAGAGACUACAGGAAAAGAAGGCAUCUGAAGCUAGUGGAAAUACACAAUCUUGGAAUACUCUUUUCAUGCGGCCAGACACCGUAUGUACACUAUCGAAUGUUAUAAUUUAGAAUAUUUUUUCUUACUAUUAUGAGGGUUGGUUCUGUCAUUUUAGAAUUUUAAUCUAUGUUUUGCUAAGACACACAUUCUUAUCCACAUUCUGCGCCACAUAAAAUAAUACAGAAAUUUAUGCAUAAACUCUACAUGGAUUAUUUAUGAGGAAAACGAUAACUAACAUCUGAACAUUGUACAAUUUAAUAUGGAUUUUUAUGUGAAGCUUAAAUUUCCUCAAUCCCAACCAAACAUGGUACAAAUUAACUUUGGGAUUUUUUCUUCCGGGGGGUGGGGGUGGGGGUGGCUUUGUACAUCAACUUUUACAGCCCCUUGAUGCUUGCUGUAAUAGACUGGGUUUAUCUUUUUUUACAUUUGAUCUGAUUUGAGUUAUUUUUGUUCCUAUAUUAUGCUUCUUGUAAGAUGAUUUGGUUGUUCAAAUCUUUGUAGCUAUCCUAACUUGUAUAAUCAGUUUUUGAAAUGCUUCAGGAUCUUUAAUUACUGCCCGUUUGGGUUGAGUAUGCAUUCUACUGUGUCAGCGUUUGGACUUGUUCUUGAAAGUAAAAAUGAGCUCCUUCUGUUCUUUGAAAUUUUUUAGGUUGUCGAGAAUAUUGCAAGAAAAUUUGGUGUUAGUAAAAGUGUUCUUCUUGAUAGAGAAGCUGAUGAUCUUGCCGUACGUAUAGCAUUGGGUGAGACUCAAGUGAUAGCAGAGACGAAAAAGGCUCUUGCAAAAGCUGGGGUUAAUAUUGCUUCACUGGAAGACUACGCUGCUGGAAAAACUGAUGGAGUGAAACGAAGCAAUCACGUUAUUCUAGUUAAGAACUUGCCCUAUGGUUCGUCAGAAGGUGAACUUGCGAAUAUGUUUGGGAAGUUCGGGAGUCUGGAUAAGAUUAUUCUUCCUCCCACCCAAACCUUAGCUUUGGUUUGUGCUUUUAUCUUUGAAGCCUUUGGUUUGAAAUGACUAUUCUUGUAACUAUAAUUGUUCUUUAUGUGCUUUGUGACUUUUCCGUACAAUAGGGUGUUCUGAUUUGAUACUAAUAGACCAAGUUUCUGUUUGUGUAAAUAGACAUGAAUUAGUUGGAAAUAACAAGAUUGUUUGCUGCUUCUGUGAUUAUUACAAUCAGGUUGUCUUCCUAGAACCGGCAGAAGCACGCACAGCUUUUCGGGGCCUAGCAUACAAACGUUACAAGUAAGUGUAUAUAUCCGUUUCUUGCUUUUGAUACAGCGGUGAUUUUUGUAGUUGAACAAGUAGCUGUAUAUGUAAAGACAAUUUCAUGUCAUGACUGAUAACUAAGCAAGAUUGGAAUAGCUUUAGAAUUGGGAUAACACAUAAAUACUCUCCUCAACUUAUUGUGAAUAUUCAUCUAUACUUUUUAACUUUGCUAGUGCCCUAUUACACCCAACCCCCAAGGGGCCUUUUUGAAGUUGAGUAACUACCAGAUUUGUGUUGGGUGUUGAAAUAACACCACUUACUCCAUAUACUUUGAAGUUGAGUAACUUUGCUAGUGCACUCACCACUUAAUUUUUGUUCACCUUUUUUUUCCAUAUACUUUGGUUAUUUCUUCCUCCACCUUUGUUCAAAUGCAUUAAGCGGACUCUCCCCCAAUCUAAACUUUGCGCCUUCCUCUCACUCCUACUCCAAUAAUUCCUUGUCAAUGAUUAGUGAUGUCGCCCUGUAUUCUCGAAACAAGGUGCAUUUUAUGUUACCUCGGAUCCUGUUAGUGAGAGAAGACUCAAAAUUAGAGGGAAGCCAUGGAAAGAGAAGGGAAUUCCAUUUUUUUUUACUUUGCUUUAGAGAAUUGAGAAACCUUCCAAUUUUUUAUUUUGCAAGAUUGAGGUUUCUCCUAGCUUGCUUUGUUCUUUCUAGCACAUAUCAGUUUUGCUGCAUCUCAUAUGCAAUAUAUUUUGAUUCAGUCUUGAAAGUUUGGAAUUAUGAAGUAAAUUUUGUCCCUUUGUCCUGAUGCAGAGACACUCCCCUUUAUUUGGAGUGGGCUCCUGGGAAUAUUCUUGAUCAAACGAGUGAUUCCAAAAAUGAUUUUAUUGUUGGUGAAGAUGAUGUAAAGAGAGUGCUCCUGGAGCAACAAGUGGAAGGAAUAGCAGAUCCAGAUGUUGAUCCUGAUAGAGUGGAGGUAUAUAAACUGUAAAACCCAUGUUUCCCAUCUUUAUAUAGAAUGUACUUUGGUGCUAAGUCCCUACUGUUGUAUGAGUCUACUUGCGAGCUGUUUAUAUCUACCUGUAUUGUAUAGACUAAUACCUAGCUAAGUUUGUCCUCGUCAAUCUUUGCUUGUGGAUUAUUUUUCUGUUCAUCUCCAUUUGCCAGCAACCGCAAAUGAAGCUUUGUUGAGGUUGGCACUUCCAUUUGAUCAAUAGUCUAUUAUUAUAUGCACUUCUGUCGCCCUGACAUGUGUCCCACCAUAUGACACAAAGUUUCACUUUAUGAAUGCCAUUUUAGGAGUCUGUCAUGUUGGUACAUUUACUUUAGGUUCAAUGUUUGUUAGGUACAUUUACUUUAGGUUCAAUGUUUGUUAGGAGUCUUUUAGUUUCGAUACAGAUGCUAGUAGAAAAUGUAAAGAAUCUCUAGUGCUAGAGAAACCAGAUCAAAAUCGUAGAGAGACGAGCUUGAGUGGAGUGGCAUCUAGCAUGUGUUGAGGACUCAUACAACUGACCCAACUAGCAUGAGGUUGAGGCGUACUUUUUGUUUUUGUCGAACACAAAAAUGUGGAAGAUAUUACAAAUUUAAGUGGUUUUGUUUUUGUUGAACACAAAAUGUGGAAGAUAUUACACAAAAUGAGGAGUGGCAUCUAGCAUGUGUUGAGGACUCAUACAACUGACCCAACUAGCAUGAGAUUGAGGCGUACUUUUUGUUUUUGUCGAACACAAAAAUGUGGAAGAUAUUACAAAUUUAAGUGGUUUUGCUUUUAUUGAACACAGAAUGUGGAAGAUAUUACAAAUUCUUAAACGAACUCUUACAUUUGAUUGAUACUGGUAACGUACUGGUAUAUAUAAAGUCACAUUUUCAGAGAAAUGAAGAAACCCGGCUAUGCAAAAAUCAAAUUUACAGACAGCCUAUCAAAUCGAUUAGAGAAUCUGUUUCCUCUAGUAGUAUGUAAGACUUUUUUGAGAAUUUCUACUAGUAUGUAAGACUCAAACUUAAGUCUACAUAUUUAUUCAAGUUUUUAGUUUGCUGGAAAUUAACUGUGGCCUGCAUAUGAUAGGUCCCCAGAAAAUCAGAAAUAAAUAAUUCUCAAAUAUGAACUGUACUCUUGUUGUUGUUGUUGUUGUUGUUGAACUGUACUCUUGGUAGCAGCAGACUAUUGAAUACACAUGGUCACAUGACAUGCUGGUUCAGCUGCUCCACUAUUGCCAAAAAAUCAUGCUACCUGUACCAAAAACCAAAAGAAUUCAGUUAUUGGAAAUAAGUAUAUAGUGAAGAACAUUGCAGUUAUAGAAAUUCCUUGUUACUUCUUUGUUUGUUCUUAUAACUGCCUUGAUUUCUCAGGUUUGUUUCUUGUUUCAUUAACCAAUUGAUAUUCUUGUUGUCACCUUUCCAGUCACGAUCACUGUAUGUCAAGAACCUAAAUUUCAAGACAUCAGAUGAGAGUUUAAAGAAACAUUUCACUGAUCACAUAAAGGAUGGGCGAAUAUUAAGUGUGAGGGUAAGUUCUUGUGGCUCUUUUUUAUGCUGAGACGCCAAGUAUUUAGCAUAGUAUUUCCUUUGUGCUACAUGAAAAAAUAACUAGUCUUCCUCCAACACCUGUUAAUAUUAUUCUGUGAAGGUGAAAAAGCAUGUAAAGAAUGGAAAAACUGUCUCGAUGGGUUUUGGAUUCAUUGAGUUUGAUUCUGCUGAUACAGCAAUCAAUGUUUGUAAGGAUUUGCAGGUAAUCAGUCUGAUUUUUGUUUUAACAUUUUGUCCAUACAUUCGGGCUCCUACAAAUAGCGUUUCAUCUUCCCCUCUUCUUGUCAUUCAGGGAACUGUUUUGGAUGGGCAUGCACUUAUAAUGCAACUUUGCCACACUAAGAAGGAUGAUCAACUACCAAAGAAAGCUGAGAAUGAUAAGAGUUCGACUAAGUUGCUUGUUAGGAAUGUUGCUUUUGAGGCAACUGAAAAGGAUCUCAGGCAACUAUUCAGUCCAUUUGGGCAGGUACUUCCUCUGAAGUGUUGUUAAUGUAGGGUGAUACUAAGUAGUAGAAAAUAAUACUAGGUUUUCCUGUGUUGGGAAGUGGCAAAGCUAGAAGUUAAUUGAGGAUAAGUAUGUCUGUGGGCACGAGGAUGCAUUAUAUCCUGUGCAUUUCCAUUGAGUCCAUAUGAGAGACAUUUAUCCAUAUGUAAGUGGGCAUGUAGAAUUCUCUCCGAUUUGUAAUGCUUUUGUUCAAAAUUCCAGGUCUAGUGGAAUGUGUCAUGAAAUUUAUUAGUGUGAAAAAUGUUGAUAUAGACAAAAUGAUGCGUGGUAAUUGGCAGAUGAUCUAGCCACUAGAAGCUAGGGCUAGAAAAAAAAAAAAACAUUAUGAUGGUUACUUGAAAGUCUGACAUAUAUGUUAUUUUUGACCUGCAUUCAUCAUGUUUCACAUAGCGACUUAUUUCAAUGUCCUUUCCGUUGACCUCAAAAUUAAAUUCAUCCUACAGAUUAAGAGUUUAAGGCUGCCAAUGAGGUUUGGGAACCAUAGAGGAUUUGCAUUUGUAGAGUUCGUCACUAAACAAGAGGCAAAGAAUGCCAUGGAAGCUCUAUCCAAUUCUCACUUGUAUGGGCGCCAUUUGGUAUGUGAUCUUGCAAUUCUCAUAGUAUAUAUCUACUACCUAAAUAUCACCAAGUAAUAUGUUGUGGUGCAUGUUACAUCUCAGGUUCUUGAGAGAGCCAAGGAAGGUGAGAGCUUAGAGGAAUUACGCGCUCGCACAGCUGCUCAGUUUAGUACUGAGCAAAAUGGGUUUCAAACUACUAAAUUAUCAAAGAAGAGAAAACAAAUGGCUAUAUUGGAUGAAGGGAGUUUUAAAUUCGAGCGAAUUGCUGAUUAAAUACUUCACAACUCCCUUCAAAUCCCCAAUUCACUUGUCCUGUAUAGGUUAAAGCUACUAAUUCUGCAGUAUUUAUAGCCCAAUAGUACUAAGAUGAGAGCUUGUUUAAUCAAUUUUGUUCAUUAAUGUAAUGUCUUGACAUCCUCUUCGGUUUGUAUUGUAGAUCAUGAAAAGUUUGCUGUCAGUUUGUGACAAAAAAAUAUCAAAGUAGUAGGUAAACAAAGUUUGAUCCUUUGGGAUGUUUCUUAUGGAUUACUUUAAUAAUGAAGAUAGCAUUCUUGUCACAGGGGGGUAAUGUAGAAAUGCUAUUUCUUAUCCACCAUAACCAAAAGAAAAAACUUAAAUCAUCUCGAGUUUAGAAGGUGAAUUUCUUGGUUAGAAAAAGAAGGGCAACAAAGGGUCGAUUUAAAAGGAAAAAAAAAAAACAGAGUGGCCAGUGUGAAAACAUGGACAAUUUUUUAAUUUGAGUCAAAAAAAUUUCCUGCAUUAUUAGAAUGACAAAGAAAAUAAGAAAAAAAAGUGGAAGGAAAUGAAGGAGGACGGCAAACAGGCGUUGACGUCCUAGUUUUAAAUACUUACAUAAAUUUUAAGUGAUAUAUCUCAAAGAAUGUGAUGUAUUCUUGUUGAAUUUUUUAGAAUUUUAAAAGACGUUGGAAUAGGAAGUAAUUAACAUCAAAAGAAUUGAGAUUUGCGUAACUUUUACAUUAUUUAUUCUGCUCUAGAAAAGUGCAAGGAAAUGAAGGAAAAUUUAGCGUCUUUAGAAAAUUCUCCAUCUUUAGCAAAAUAAGAACAAAAAUUUGCGUACAUUUUAUCUUUUCUAAAUUUCAUCUAUACGUGUUGACAGUUUGAUAACAUUUUCUUUUCUUGUUAAAAUAGUUCCUUCUUUUGGUCGUGACAUGCGCAAUUGGAAAAGAAAAAAGAAUCAAGUAAAUUGGUAAUAACGACAUUGCAGAAAUUUACCUCAAAAAAAAAAAAAAUUAUUGUCCCCUUUAAACUAUAUAUCAUCGAUCACUAUCAUUAUUCAUCAUUAUAUAAUCACCAAUCAGCACUAUAUAUUAUAAACUAUCGUCAUCAUUCACCAUCACUAUAAGCUAUUACUAUCAUCCACCACAACUAUCAGUCAUUGUGACAAGGAGUAACCAUCAAUCACUACUCUCACAACUAUCAUCACCAAUAGCUACACCCUUAACACCACUAUUUGCCAAUAUAUCUUCAAUCGACACCCACAAUCACUAUCGCUAGCCAUCACUAUCAUCAACAGUCAUAUAAUGUUUAUAGUAAAUUAAUUUAAUUUUUUUUAUUAAAUUUUACUUUAUAAUAGAAGCGGCAAUCUUGACCAUUUUAGAGUCGUCCUGGCUGCUUCAGCUGCUUCAAGCGUAAUUUUACUAUAUCACCCCUAAUUAAUUAUUAUAAAUUAUUUCAUUUAAGUAUUAUAAUAUUAAUAAUAUUUAAUAAAAGAAUAGUUUUCAAAAUGACUACUAAAUUCCUCAAAGUUCCAUUUAUUAUUAUUCGAGAAUUUUUUUUAGCUGUUUCAAUCGUAAUUUUAAUGUAUCACCUCUAAUUAAUUAUUAUAAGCCAUUUACGUAUUAAAAAUUAAUAAUAUUUAAUAUAAAAAUAAAACAAACAUUUUUUACAUGUCUGCUUCAGUUGGUUCGACAUAAUUUUACUAUAUCACCUCUAAUUACUCAUUAUGAGUCAUCUAAGUAUUAAAAAAUAAUGUUAAAAAAUUAUUAUAAAAUCAUCUAAGUUUUAAAAAACUAAUAAUAUAAAAAAAUAUUAAUCUGCCAAAUAUUUUUCAAAAAUAGGUAAGAAAUACUAUACAUCACAAUAAUUAGCAACUAGAAAGUUUAGAGUCAAUUUACUUUCUUUGGCACAUCUUCAUUGGUCCUUUCCUUUGCCUUCAUUUUUUCAUCUAUUUUAAUUUGUUAUAUAUUUUUUAAAAAAAAACUUGUAAAUCACAAUAAUUAAUAAAUUAAAAAUUAAAAACAUAUAAAUAUUUGACUGACUUUCAAAAUUAUAUCAUUGCUACUUAAAUUGGAAUAGAAGAAAAAAUACUAUAGAUCACAGUAAUUAAAAACUUAAAUUAUUUAUAAAAUAUAAUUGACUAUCAAUAGUACAAAAUUUUAAACAAGGAGUGUAACAUAUAUUAUUUAAAAUUUACAUAAAACUUAUUAUAAAUUACAAUAUUUAACAAAUUAAAAUAUCUAAAAAAAAUUAUUAUAUAUUUUAAAAAAUACAUAAAAGUGCUAUAGAUCAUAAUAAUUAACAAAUUUAAGACAUAUAAAAUAUUUGAUUGACUUUUGUUCAAUUAUAAAAAAAUAAGCACUUUGAUGAAGAUUUAUAGUAUCAUUCAAGUAAAUACAGAUUAAGAUCGUAGAAACAUGAGCUAGUGAUAUAGCUACACCUAAUUCCAGACCGGUUAAUGCAAGAACUAUAAAUAAAGGACCAAGAUCCCCUAUGAAAUAUAAUUGAAUAUCAACGCCACAAAAGUUAGGACAAGGAGAGUAACAUGUAUUUUUUGAAAAUCAUAUAAAAAACAUUACAAAUUACAAUUGUUGACAAUUUAAAGUAUUUUUUUAAUUUUUUUUUAUAUAUUUUUAAAAAAUACUCAAAAAGAUACUACAAAUCAUAAUAAUUAAUAAUUUUAAAAAUUGUAAGGAUAUAAAUAUUUGGUUGACUAUAGAAAUUAUAUCAGUGCUACUUAAUUUGAAAUUAAAAAAGAUUAUAAAUCUCAAUAAUUUUAAAAGUUAAAUUAUUUUUAAAGUAUAAUUGGCUAUCGAUGCUACAAAAGUUUGAAUAAGGAGAGUAACAUGUAUUAUUUAAAAAUUACAUAAAAAAAUAUUAUAAAUUACGAUAAUUAACAAUUUAGAAUAUUCAAAGCAUACUAAAGAUAUGAUUGAUUAUCUAUAUUUUAUUUAUGUCACAUAAAUUGAGACUAAAAAAUAAUAUAUAUUGGGCCCGUGCCAACCUAUUUAAAUAAAUUUAUAUAUUCAAAUAUUGAAAAAUAAAUAACUUUAAUUAUUUAAUAUUCAUAUCUUAAUUACUUAGUAUUCUGGUAAAAUAUGUGUUACCACCAAACAAAUCUCAUCAUUUUGUGACUUAAUCUAUAAUAUAUUAAAAGUGUGAAGCCCGUUAAAAAGUGAUUUGAAUUUUUUAUCCUUCAUUAAAACACUAUACAAUAGACAAAAUCAUCUUUUCACUAUUUUCCUUAAUUUAUUAUUUAAUUAAAUUUUUAUUUUUUAAAGUCAAGAAAUCCUAAAUUAUACGGUAAAAGAAAAAUAUAUAGAGAAUUAAUAUUGGUAAAUUUUUUAUUUCCUUCUAUAUGUAAAAAAAGAGUCUUGAAAUAUUUGGUAGAAAAAAGAUCCUAAAAUAUAUAAUAAAGAGAAUAAGAAAAGAUUUAAUAGUAGAAAACUUUAAGUAAAAAAGAAAAAUAAAAUCUCACCUAAAGUUUUAGAAAAACCAUUAUACGUUUUCUUUUAAUGUUAUGAUUUUAAUUCCUUUAAGUAAAAAGGAAAAAUAAAAUGUCAACUAAAGUUUUAAAAAAACUAUUGUACGUUUUCUUUUAACGUUAUUAUUUUAAUUUCAAACUAUAUAUAUAUAUAUAUAUAUUUCUUUUCUAUAUAAUAGAAACACUAAUUUUGACCAAUGCUUCAUCAAUUGCUAUACUACCCCAAAUUAUUUCAGAAUUUACUAUAUUACUCCUAAUUAAUUAUUAUAAUUCAUUUAAAUAUUAGAAUUAAUAAUAUUUUUUUAUUAUAUUAUCCCUAAUUAAUUAUUGUAAGUCAUUUAUAUAUUAUAAUUAAUGAUAUUUAAUUAAAAAAUAGACAUUUAUGACUUUUGUUUCAGCUGCUUUAACUGUGAUUUUACUUUAUCAUCCCCAAUUAAUUAUUAUAAGUCAUUUAUGUAUUAAAAAAUUAAUAAUAUUUAAUUAAAAAAUUAGAUGACAUGUCUACCUAUAUUACCUCUAAUUGCCCCGUAAUUUAUUAUAUUACCCCUAAUUAAUUAUUAUAAGAAAUUUAUAUAUUAGAAUUAAUUAAUUAUUAUAAGUCAUUGAUAUAUUAAAAUUAAUAAUAUUUAAUUAAAAAAAUAUUUAUAACGUUUGUUUCAGCUCCUUUAAUCGUGAUUUUACUAUAUCAUUCUUAAUUAAUUAUUAUAUGUCAUUUAUGUAUUUAAAAAUUAAUAAUAUUUAAUUAAAAAAUAGAAGUUUAUGAUGUUUGUUUCAACAUCUUUAACCGUAAUUUUACUGUAUCAUCCCUAAUUAAUUAUUAUAAGUCAUUGAUAUAUUAAAAUUAAUAAUAUUUAAUUAAAAAAUAGAAGUUUAUGAUGUUUGUUUCAACAUCUUUAACCGUAAUUUUACUGUAUCAUCCCUAAUUAAUUAUUAUAAGUCAUUGAUAUAUUAAAAUUAAUAAUAUUUAAUUAAAAAAUAGAAGUUUAUGAUGUUUGUUUCAACAUCUUUAACCGUAAUUUUACUGUAUCAUCCCUAAUUAAUUAUUAUAAGUCAUUGAUAUAUUAAAAUUAAUAAUAUUUAAUUAAAAAAUAGAAGUUUAUGAUGUUUGUUUCAACAUCUUUAACCGUAAUUUUACUGUAUCAUCCCUAAUUAAUUAUUAUAAGUCAUUGAUAUAUUAAAAUUAAUAAUAUUUAAUUAAAAAAUAGAAGUUUAUGAUGUUUGUUUCAACAUCUUUAACCGUAAUUUUACUGUAUCAUCCCUAAUUAAUUAUUAUAAGUCAUUGAUAUAUUAAAAUUAAUAAUAUUUAAUUAAAAAAUAGAAGUUUAUGAUGUUUGUUUCAACAUCUUUAACCGUAAUUUUACUGUAUCAUCCCUAAUUAAUUAUUAUAAGUCAUUGAUAUAUUAAAAUUAAUAAUAUUUAAUUAAAAAAUAGAAGUUUAUGAUGUUUGUUUCAACAUCUUUAACCGUAAUUUUACUGUAUCAUCCCUAAUUAAUUAUUAUAAGUCAUUGAUAUAUUAAAAUUAAUAAUAUUUAAUUAAAAAAUAGAAGUUUAUGAUGUUUGUUUCAACAUCUUUAACCGUAAUUUUACUGUAUCAUCCCUAAUUAAUUAUUAUAAGUCAUUGAUAUAUUAAAAUUAAUAAUAUUUAAUUAAAAAAUAGAAGUUUAUGAUGUUUGUUUCAACAUCUUUAACCGUAAUUUUACUGUAUCAUCCCUAAUUAAUUAUUAUAAGUCAUUGAUAUAUUAAAAUUAAUAAUAUUUAAUUAAAAAAUAGAAGUUUAUGAUGUUUGUUUCAACAUCUUUAACCGUAAUUUUACUGUAUCAUCCCUAAUUAAUUAUUAUAAGUCAUUUAUAUAUUAGAAUUAAUAAUAUUUAAUUAAAAAAUAGAAGUUUAUGAUGUUUGUUUCAACAUCUUUAACCGUAAUUUUACUGUAUCAUCCCUAAUUAAUUAUUAUAAGUUAUUUAUAUAUUAAAAAUUAAUAAUAUUUAAUUAAAAAAAUCAGCUGCUUUGUCAUUUACUAUAUUAACCUAAUUGCUCGGUGAUUUAUUAUAUUACCCCUAAUUAAUUACUAUAAGUCAUUUAUUUAUUAGAAAUUAAUAAUGUUUUUUUUAUUAUAUUACCCCUAAUUAAUUAUUAUAAGUCAUUUAUAUAUUAUAUUUAAUAAUAUUUAAUUAAAAAAUAUAUAUUUAUGACAUUUAUUUCAGCUGCUUUAACCAUGAUUUCACUAUAUCAUCCCUAAUUAAUUAUUCUAAGUUAUUUAUGUAUUAAAAAAUUAAUAAUAUUUAAUUAAAAAAUAGAUGAAAUGUCUGCCUAUAUUAUCCCUAAUUGCUCCGUGAUUUACUAUAUUACCCUAAAUUAAUUAUUAUAAGUCAUUUAAAGUUAUUUAUGUAUUAAAAAAUUAAUAAUAUUUAAUUAAAAAAAUAUAUGACAUGUCUGCCUAUAUUAUCCCUAAUUGCUACGUGAUUUACUAUAUUACCCUAAAAUAAUUAUUAUAAGUCAUUUAUAUAUUAGAAUUAAUAAUAUUUAAUUAAAAAUUGAUAUUUAUGACGUUUGUUUCAGCUGCUUUAACCGUGAUUUUACUAUAUCAUCCCUAACUAAUCAUUAUAAGUCAUUUAUGUAUUAAAAAAUUAAUAAUAUUUAAUUAAAAAAAUAGAUGACAUGUCUGCUGCAGCUGCUUCAACCAUAAUUUUGCUAAAUAUCGCUUAUAAUUAAUUAUUAUGAGUCAUCUAAGUGUAAAAAAUUUAAUCAUAUUUUUUUAAAAAAAAUAGACACAAAAUGAUAAAUUAACUCUUGAUGUAUUAAAUUAAGUUGACCUCCUUCAACCGUGAUUUUACUGUAUCACCCAUAAUUAAUUAUUAUUAGUCAUUUAUGUAUUAAAAUAUUCAUAUUAUUUAAUUAAAACAUUGGUUUCGACAUGGCUGCUUCAAGAGCUGCGCCGUAAUUUUACUAUAUCACCCCUAAUUAAUUAUUAUAAGUCAUUUAUGUAUUAGAAAAUUAAUAGUAUUUAAUUAAAACAAGAAAAAUAUGUGUUUAUGACAUGUUUGUUGCAGCUGUUUCAACCAUAAUUAUCUUUGAGAAGAUGAUCCAAGACUUUGUGUUAAUUGAAGUAUCUUUUGUUCCAGUUUUUAUAUGAAAUAAUCUUAUGAAUAUUAGUUCUACAUCUUUUCUAUAUUUUGUAGCAGGUCUCAAUUUUAUCAUCAAACAAUUAAAAUAACCCGACUACACGACACAUUACACCUUUUUAUCAUGUGGAAAAAAACUAUCUUAUAAAACUUCACUCCUUAGCGAGUACCAUCAAAUAGUUAUUAUUUAAAAAAUUAUCGUUUUAAAUCAAUGUACAUUUAUGUUUGUAUCUCAUCAAUAUUGAAUAUUGGUGCUAAAAGAUGUCUAUAGUGUUGGAUCCGUGCUGACACGGGCCAUGCACCUCUUGUAUAUAUAUAUAUAUAUUAUAUUAUAAUCUAUUUAAAGUGUGAAGGGCGUUAGAAAUGUCGCUUGAACUUUUUACCCUUCAUUAAAAGUCUUUUCUUUAGAUAAAAAUCAUAUUUUGACUAUUUUUUUUAAUUAUUUAAUAGUUAAAAAUCAAUUAAAUAUAUUUAUGAUAAACCUUUAAAACUUUUUAAGAAGAUUUAAAAAGUCUAUAAAUUUACAUCUACAAUAUAUUAAAUCCAUUAACCAUUUGAAAUUUGUGAUGAUAAAAUAUACAUGUGCUUAUAAUAAAAUAUAUAUUUUAAACUUUUUACAAUUCAUUAAAAAAAUUAUCUAAUUUUAAAUAAUCAAAAGUUAAUUGCACGUGCAGCUAAACUAGUAAUUAUACAAAUUUCCAUUGACAAAGUGAGGAGUAUAUUCUUUCAAAUCCUCUAACCAAUUUACAGCGGAGUUGGUAGUCCAAAAUAUUUCAAGAAAACUUGUUUCUCUUGUCUUGUUUCCUUUUAAACCCUUUUGUCCACUCUUUACAUUUCUACUACUCAAUUCAUUUGUUCACCAUAUAUUACCUGCCUUGUCUCCAUCUUUUCUCAACUGGGUAUGCCUUCAAAUUUCACCUAAUUCUGUGCUUUCUUUAGGGUUUCUCAUUGUUUUCAUUAAAUUCAAUCAUUCUUUUCUUUGUGGAUUUACUUUUUUAAGUGUGUUCUUUAUAUGAGAUCCCAAUUCACUUUGUGGGGUUUUUAGUAUUUGAUAAUUUUACUUUACUGUAAGUGAUAUUAUUAUACUUUGUUGCUUUGUUAGAAUUACUAGCAUCAUCUGUUUUCUUUGUGGGUUUUCUUUAAUUCUGCUUAUUGUGUACUCAUUUGGAUCUUCCUUGUUACUGUUUUUUUUGGUGGAACUUAGUGUUUGGAAUUUAGAUUUGUUGUGCCCUUAAAUAAGUGGUGUUUUUAGUUUGAACACACCCUUAACCAAACUACUCAUUCCUAGAAAACAAAGAUUGUUUUUACUAACUUAUCCUUGAUAAAUACUUUGGAAAAGAUAGUACUCUUUAGUAGUUUCUUGCUUAUUUAAAACUCUUUUUAUUUAAAAGAAGUUAAAAAUGAAGGAACAACAUGAAUGUCUUCUUGAUUAUCUAAAGUACUACUUAUUUGGGAAUAAAAUCAAAAGGCUGAAAACCACUUAAUUUAGGAAUGGAGGGAGUAGGCGGACAUUGAUUAUAAAAGUUGGCGUGAAUUUCCAGGUUCAGUUUGUGAUUCUGUUAGUUUUUAGUGCUUUCUUGAUUUACUUUUGCGUUUGUUCUGAAUCUUGAUAGAGGCAAUGUCGCAAGGCUAUGCUAUUGAGCUCUACUUUGAUCCUGCACUGGAAAACCAGGUCCUGAAGGCCUGGAAUGUAUUGGCUCGGCGCCAGAUUAGCACUCAGCUUAUUGAGAUUGAGUCUAGACCUCACAUUACCCUCUUCUCGAGUCCCAAUUUUGAUCCAUCAAAGCUUGAGAACAUUGUAAAGAAUUUUUCGUCCAAGCAAGAAUCUUUGCCUCUGUCCUUUGGUUCAAUUGGAAGCCUCCCAAGUGAUGACAAUGUUCUAUUUCUUGCCCCAACACCAACUUUGUCUCUACUUCAGUUCCACUCACAGCUGUUUGAUGCUAUGAAAAAGGAGGGCAUUGAGAUUGCAGAUGAGCAUCGUCCUGAUACGUGGAUUCCUUAUUGCCCGGUAGCUGAAGAGGUGCCUAAAACUCGUAUGGGGGAGGCAUUCACUGUUUUGAGGGAUCUGAAAUUACCUGUUGCUGGAUAUGCAAUGGAAAUUGCACUUGUCGAGUAUCCUCCAGUUCGUGAAGCAUUUUCUUUUGUGCUUGGUAAUACAGUUGAACCUUGAGGUUUCAGACAUGUAAUUGUGUUGAUUUUAGUUUAGGCUUUUACCUUUCAUAUCCUAUAUAGUUGCUCUUGUAGAACCUGAUAUAGAUGGUUAAGAGUGUUAUUAUCGUUGCUAAAUGGUCAUCUGCUUUGAUGAAAUAUUAAGUCAUUUCUGAUUCUUUCCUAUUGUUCGUACUUGCAUUGAGAUGUUGAUCUCUUAUGUCAGUGUUGGUGAUAAUAACAUGCUUAUUUUUUUUUCUUAUCUAUGGGAAGUCUCUGGUCGACCUCUAUUAGCAUAGAAAUUUUAUUUGCUUCUGUGUUCUAUCUUAUAAAUCAUGAACAUUGUUUGGCUUACGUGUUCUACUUUGUAAGUCUUGAAUGUGGUUCCUUUCAUUCAAAUGUAAUAUGUUUUAGUUCUUGUUAAGUUUAGCAAGUUCGAAUCAUGUGAGGUAAAUUUGCUUUUGUUAAAUAAUGUUGAGUAUAAAACUUGCUUGCGUUUAAAAAUGUUCACUUAUACAUUACUGCAGUACACCUUCUAAUUUGCAAGUCUCAAAGAUCAUGUGCUUUCUUUAGAUUGUAAUAUAUCCUGGUGCUUGUUGAAUUUAAUAUGAUUGAAUCAUGUGAGGGGAGUACAGAAGCUACCAGUUUUGUAUGGUUGGUAAAUCAAAUAGUAUUUGGAGAAAACAUGAGGCAGAGUUGAUUGAUGUACUAGCUGAAUAAACUGGAUAAAAGACAAGAACAGUCCAUUAUGUUUGACGUUGGUUUUGACUAACCCUUUUUUUUUUUUUUUUUUUUUUUUUUUUUUUUUUUUUUUUUUUUUUUUUUUUUUUUUUUUUUUUUUUUUUUUUUUUUUUUUUUUUUUUUUUUUUUUUUUUUUUUUUUUUUUUUUUUUUUUUUUUUUUUUUUUUUUUUUUUUUUUUUUUUUUUUUUUUUUUUUUUUUUUUUUUUUUUUUUUUUUUUUUUUUUUUUUUAAAAUCAUGG
rnacentral:lncRNA from 1 species